rnacentral:lncRNA from 1 species
UUUGUUUUCUCCGUCUUCUUUGAUUUUUGCUUGCUAUCGUUGCAUUUUACGUUUAAGACUAGACAAUGUACGAGAGGUUGGAUUGGUUUUACGCUUAAGUUGGUUUGAUUGUUUUAGUUAAUUAAGUUUUUUUUGGGCUUUUGAUUUUUGGAAUAAGUUUUUAGUUUUGGUUUUUUUUUUGGGGGGGGGCUUGGUUUUGAUUUUUGUUUUGGGCUUGGUUUUAUUUUUCAGUAUUUGAUAUUUUUAAUGUAAAACUAUAAAAUCAUAUGAGUUAACAAAAAUAGAUUUCUGUUUUCAAAACUAAAACUCUGAUAAUUUCUCCGCUAUAAGAUUAAGUAAUCACUUAAAUAUUUUCUGUAAAUAAAAUAUAUGGUUUUUAAUACAUG